rnacentral:rRNA from 1 species
AGUGAACGCUGGCGGUAGGCCUAACACAUGCAAGUCGAACGGCAGCACAGUAAGAGCUUGCUCUUACGGGUGGCGAGUGGCGGACGGGUGAGGAAUACAUCGGAAUCUACUUUUUCGUGGGGGAUAACGUAGGGAAACUUACGCUAAUACCGCAUACGACCUACGGGUGAAAGCAGGGGAUCUUCGGACCUUGCGCGAUUGAAUGAGCCGAUGUCGGAUUAGCUAGUUGGCGGGGUAAAGGCCCACCAAGGCGACGAUCCGUAGCUGGUCUGAGAGGAUGAUCAGCCACACUGGAACUGGGACACGGUCCAGACUCCUACGGGAGGCAGCAGAGGGGAAUAUUGGACAAUGGGCGCAAGCCUGAUCCAGCCAUACCGCGUGGGUGAAGAAGGCCUUCGGGUUGUAAAGCCCUUUUGUUGGGAAAGAAAAGCAGCAGGUUAAUACCCCGCUGUUCUGACGGUACCCAAAGAAUAAGCACCGGCUAACUUCGUG